GAACGCUGGCGGCGCGCCUAACACAUGCAAGUCGAACGAGCGAGAGAGAACUUGCUUUCUCGAGCGAGUGGCGAACGGGUGAGUAACGCGUGAGGAACCUGCCUCAAAGAGGGGGACAACAGUUGGAAACGACUGCUAAUACCGCAUAAGCCCACGGCUCGGCAUCGAGCAGAGGGAAAAGGAGCAAUCCGCUUUGAGAUGGCCUCGCGUCCGAUUAGCUAGUUGGUGAGGUAACGGCCCACCAAGGCAACGAUCGGUAGCCGGACUGAGAGGUUGAACGGCCACAUUGGGACUGAGACACGGCCCAGACUCCUACGGGAGGCAGCAGUGGGGAAUAUUGCACAAUGGGGGAAACCCUGAUGCAGCGACGCCGCGUGGAGGAAGAAGGUCUUCGGAUUGUAAACUCCUGUUGUUGGGGAAGAUAAUGACGGUACCCAACAAGGAAGUGACGGCUAACUACGUGCCAGCAGCCGCGGUAAAACGUAGGUCACAAGCGUUGUCCGGAAUUACUGGGUGUAAAGGGAGCGCAGGCGGGAAAACAAGUUGGAAGUGAAAUCUAUGGGCUCAACCCAUAAACUGCUUUCAAAACUGUUUUUCUUGAGUAGUGCAGAGGUAGGCGGAAUUCCCGGUGUAGCGGUGGAAUGCGUAGAUAUCGGGAGGAACACCAGUGGCGAAGGCGGCCUACUGGGCACCAACUGACGCUGAGGCUCGAAAGUGUGGGUAGCAAACAGGAUUAGAUACCCUGGUAGUCCACACCGUAAACGAUGAUUACUAGGUGUUGGAGGAUUGACCCCUUCAGUGCCGCAGUUAACACAAUAAGUAAUCCACCUGGGGAGU
rnacentral:rRNA from 1 species